AAUACAUUGGUGGCGACCGGCGCACGGGUGAGUAACGCGUAUGCAACCUACCUAUCAGAGGGGAAUAACCCGGCGAAAGUCGGACUAAUACCGCAUAAAACAGGGGUUCCACAUGGAAAUAUUUGUUAAAGAAUUAUCGCUGAUAGAUGGGCAUGCGUUCCAUUAGAUAGUUGGUGAGGUAACGGCUCACCAAGUCCACGAUGGAUAGGGGUUCUGAGAGGAAGGUCCCCCACACUGGUACUGAGACACGGACCAGACUCCUACGGGAGGCAGCAGUGAGGAAUAUUGGUCAAUGGGCGAGAGCCUGAACCAGCCAAGUCGCGUGAAGGAUGAAGGAUCUAUGGUUUGUAAACUUCUUUUAUAUGGGAAUAAAGUGAGGAACGUGUUCCUUUUUGUAUGUACCAUAUGAAUAAGCAUCGGCUAACUCCGUGCCAGCAGCCGCGGUAAUACGGAGGAUGCGAGCGUUAUCCGGAUUUAUUGGGUUUAAAGGGUGCGUAGGUGGUUAAUUAAGUCAGCGGUGAAAGUUUGUGGCUCAACCAUAAAAUUGCCGUUGAAACUGGUUGACUUGAGUAUAUUUGAGGUAGGCGGAAUGCGUGGUGUAGCGGUGAAAUGCAUAGAUAUCACGCAGAACUCCGAUUGCGAAGGCAGCUUACUAAACUAUAACUGACACUGAAGCACGAAAGCGUGGGGAUC
rnacentral:rRNA from 1 species